CCUACGGGCGGCAGCAGUGAGGAAUAUUGGUCAAUGGGCUUACGCCUGAACCAGCCAAGUCGCGUGAGGGAAGACUGCCCUAUGGGUUGUAAACCUCUUUUGUCAGGGAGCAACGCCGGCUACGCGUAGCCGGACUGAGAGUACCUGAAGAAAAAGCAUCGGCUAACUCCGUGCCAGCAGCCGCGGUAAUACGGAGGAUGCGAGCGUUAUCCGGAUUUAUUGGGUUUAAAGGGUGCGUAGGCGGAAUGCCAAGUCAGCGGUAAAAGCGCGGGGCUCAACCUCGCUCCGCCGUUGAAACUGGCGUUCUUGAGUGGGCGAGAAGUAUGCGGAAUGCGUGGUGUAGCGGUGAAAUGCAUAGAUAUCGCGCAGAACUCCGAUUGCGAAGGCAGCAUACCGGCGCCCAACUGACGCUGAAGCACGAAAGCGUGGGUAUCGAACAGGAUUAGAUACCCUUGUAGUC
rnacentral:rRNA from 1 species